rnacentral:rRNA from 1 species
AUUGAACGCUGGCGGCAGGCCUAACACAUGCAAGUCGAGCGGAGCGGCGGACGGGUGAGUAAUGCCUAGGAAUCUGCCUGGUAGUGGGGGAUAACGUCCGGAAACGGGCGCUAAUACCGCAUACUAUCAGAUGAGCCUAGGUCGGAUUAGCUAGUUGGUGGGGUAAUGGUCUACCAAGGCGACGAUCAGUAACUGGUCUGAGAGGAUGAUCAGUAAAAGGGGAACUUGGACCCGGUGCAUACUCCUACGGGAGGCAGCAGUGGGGAAUAUUGGACAAUGGGCGAAAGCCUAGUCCAGCCAUGCCGCGUGUGUGAAGAAGGUCUUCGGAGUGUAAAGCACUUUAAGUUGGGAGGCGUUACCAACAGAAUAAGCACCGGCUAACUUCGUGCCAGCAGCCGCGGUAAUAC